GAUGAACGCUGGCGGCGUGCCUAAUACAUGCAAGUCGAGCGAACGGACGAGAAGCUUGCUUCUCUGAUGUUAGCGGCGGACGGGUAAGUAACACGUGGAUAACCUACCUAUAAGACUGGGAUAACUUCGGGAAACCGGAGCUAAUACCGGAUAAUAUUUUGAACCGCAUGGUUCAAAAGUGAAAGACGGUCUUGCUGUCACUUAUAGAUGGAUCUGAGCUGCAUUAGCUAGUUGGUAAGGUAACGGCUUACGAAGGCAACGAUGCAUAGCCGACGUGAGAGGGUGAUCGGCCGCAUUGGAACUGAGACACGGUCCAGACGCCUACGGGAGGCAGCAGUAGGGAAUCGUACGCAAUGGGCGAAAGCCUGACGGAGCAACGCCGCGUGAGUGAUGAAGAUCUUCGGAUCGUAAAACUCUGUUAUUAGGGAAGAACAUAUGUGUAAGUAACUGUGCACAUCUUGACGGUACCUAAUCAGAAAGCCACGGCUAACUACGUG
rnacentral:rRNA from 1 species